rnacentral:rRNA from 1 species
GACGAACGCUGGCGGCGUGCCUAAUACAUGCAAGUAGGACGCAGUUGCGAACGGGUGAGUAACGCGUAGGUAACUACCUAUUAGAGGGGGAUAACUAUUGGAAACGAUAGCUAAUACCGCAUACUAGUAGAUGGACCUGCGUUGUAUUAGCUAGUAGGUAGGGUAAUGGCCUACCUAGGCAACGAUACAUAGCCGACCUGGGAGGGUGACUGGACACAAUGGGAAUGAGAAACGGCCCAGACGCCUACGUGAGGGAGCAGUAGGGAAUCUGCGGCAAUGGGGGGAACCCUGACCGGGCAACGCCGCGUGAGGGAAGAAGGUUUUCGGAGCGUAAAGCUCUGUUGUUAAGGAAGCGGUACUUAACCAGAAAGGGACGGCUAACUACGUGCCAGCAGCCGCGGUAAUAC